rnacentral:misc_RNA from 1 species
GUGAAGUUUUAGCCGAGAUUCGUAAGAAGAAGAGCAUGCUUAUCCAGCAACACCGGAUUAAGAAGAGCACCGCAGAGAGCCGUCCCACCGUGCCAAGGAAGCAUAACCAUGAUAGGAAAUUUACUUCGGAGAGAAUGGGAAGGAAACUCUCAGAGGUUGGGUUGGAUCCUACUAGAGCACUAAGUCGUGUUCGGAGUGCAUCUGUAAAGAGAGGUCGUAAAAGAGACAGAUCAGUUGGUGGAGAAGCAAUGGACAUUGACGGUGAGCAAUCGAACAAGAAGAUGC